CUCAGAGUUAGGCCUGUGGACGGGUUUGUCCCUCAGAGUUAGACCUGUGGACGGGUUUGUCCCUCAGAGUUAGGCCUGUGGACGGGUUUGUCCCUCAGAGUUAGGCCUGUGGACGGGUUUGUCCCUCAGACUUUGGAAAGUGAUACAUUCCAUUCAUCCAAUAGUGACAGGAGCUGGAGAACCAAAACAACGACAAAGUAAUCAAGAUCCAGAGAGACAGGCCUUCUCUGGUUGGUUGUCCUGCCUCCUGUCCUGAGAGCAGAGUCCCUGGACUGGUCCAGAGACAGGCCUUCUCUGGUUGGUUGUCCUGCCUCCUGUCCUGAGAGCAGAGUCCCUGGACUGGUCCAGAGACAGGCCUUCUCUGGUUGGUUGUCCUGCCUCCUGUCCUGAGAGCAGAGUCCCUGGACUGAUCCAGAGACAGGCCUUCUCUGGUUGGUUGUCCUGCCUCCUGUCCUGAGAGCAGAGUCCCUGGACUGAUCCAGAGACAGGCCUUCUCUGGUUGGUUGUUCUGCCUCCUGCCCUGAGAGCAGAGUCCCUGGACUGAUCCAGAGACAGGCCUUCUUUGGUUGGUUGUCCUGCCUCCUGUCCUGAGAGCAGAGUCCCUGGACUGAUCCAGAGACAGGCCUUCUCUGGUUGGUUGUCCUGCCUCCUGUCCUGAGAGCAGAGUCCCUGGACUGGUCCAGAGAGACAGGCCUUCUCUGGUUGGUUGUCCUGCCUCCUGUCCUGAGAGCAGAGUCCCUGGACUGAUCCAGAGACAGGCCUUCUCUGGUUGGUUGUCCUGCCUCCUGUCCUGAGAGCAGAGUCCCUGGACUGAUCCAGAGACAGGCCUUCUCUGGUUGGUUGUCCUGCCUCCUGUCCUGAGAGCAGAGUCCCUGGACUGAUCCAGAGAGUGUGGACACUGCCAGCCAGGGGGAUGCCCUAUCGCGUGCCACCUCAACCCUCAAUAAACUGAUCUUAUCAGUUCCAGGGUAGUGGAGCCACGUGCAGCACGCAAGUCCAGGGCAUCAUUACCCCGUGGCACCACUACUCUGCCAGUCUUAUGAGCAUGGCGGCCAUCUUGAUGACUGGCAUACCUGGUUUACAACCUGUUUUAUAUCUGUCAUUACCACUUAUUGACUUCCAUAUUCUGGGGAAUGUUCUGUUACGCUCUUUUAAUCCCUCCCUGUCUGUCUGCCGCUCUCUCUGUCUUUCACCCCUUGAAUGGAAUUGAAUUGAGAGAGAGUGUAUUUUAUUUACAGCCACUAGUUUCAGUUCAGCUCCCCAUUUCAGUGUUUGUUAAUAAAGAUCAAGCAGUCACCUUCCUGUUAGUGAGGGAGUUGUCAUGGAAACAGUUGUAUAUUACCUGGGGAAAUUCUAAAAGCCAUGAAGUUGUCCUAUAAAGUAUGUCUGUCCUGUACUGUGUCUGAUUCAAAACUGCUGUCCUGUCCUAGUCCCCAUCUUUACCCUUUCUAGGGUUCCUAUGUAGGGUGGUUCAUGUCUGUUAUCUUCUAUGGGCUACGUGGGACGCUAGCGUCCCACCCACGGUUCACACUAUUCAACAGCCAGUGAAAAAUCAGAGCGCCAAAUUCGAAAACAACAAAAUGCCAUAAUUCAAAUUUCUCAAACAUACAACUAUUUUACACCAUUUUAUAGAUAAACAUCUCCUGAAUCCAACCACGUUGUCCGAUUUCAAAACGGCUUUACGGCGAAAGCAUAAAGUUAGAUUAUGUUAGGACAGUACAUAGACAAAAAAUUACACACAGCCAUUUUCAAUGCAAGGACAAGCGUCACCAAAAGCAGAAAACCAGC
rnacentral:lncRNA from 1 species